rnacentral:rRNA from 1 species
AUUAUUGGGCGUAAAGCGUUUGUAGGCGGGCGAGUGUGUUUAAUGUUAAAUCUUAAAGCUCAACUUUGAAAUUGCGUUAAAAACUGCUUGUCUUGAGUAUGGUAGGGGUAAAGGGAAUUCCCAGUGUAGCGGUGAAAUGCGUAGAUAUUGGGAAGAACACUAAACAGCGAAGGCACUUUACUAGGCUAAUACUGACGCUGAGAAACGAAAGGUAAGGUAGCGAAACGGAUUAGAUACCCGUGUAGUCUUACCCGUAAACUAUGGACACUAAACGGUAAAUUUUUAAUUUACUGUUAAAGCUAACGCGUUAAGUGUCCCGCCUGGGGAGUAUGCUUGCAAAAGUGAAACUCAAAGGAAUUGACGGGGGCCCGCACAAGCGGUGGAGCAUGUGGUUUAAUUCGACGGUACACGAAGAACCUUACCAGGAUUUGACAUGCUAGAUAGUUGCUCGAAAGAGUAACGUGCCGUAAGGAAUCUAGACACAGGUGGUGCAUGGCUGUCGUCAGUUCGUGUUGUGAAAUGUUGGGUUAAGUCCCGCAACGAACGCAACCCUUGUCUUUAGUUAUUUUCUAAAGAGGCUGCCUGUAAUAAACAGGAGGAAGGUAAGGAUGAGGUCAAGUCAUCAUGCCCCUUAUGUCCUGGGCUACACACGUGCUACAAUGGGAAAGACAAUGAGCUGCAAAUCUGUAAAUUUAAGCAAAUCUCUUAAACUUUCUCGUAGUUCGGAUUGUGGGCUGCAACUCGCCCACAUGAAGUUGGAAUCGCUAGUAAUCGCCAGUCAGCUAUAUGGCGGUGAAUCCGUUCCCGGGCCU